rnacentral:rRNA from 1 species
GCGCAGCAGGCGAGAAACUUUACAAUGUGCGAAAGCACGAUAAGGGAACUCUGAGUGCCUCCUAAGGAGGCUGUUCAGGUGUCUAAAAGCACCUGAAGGAAGGGCUGGGUAAGACCGGUGCCAGCCGCCGCGGUAACACCGGCAGCCCAAGUGGUAGCCACGUUUAUUGGGUCUAAAGCGUCCGUAGCCGGCUGGGUAAGUUCCUUGGGAAAUUUGGCUGCUUAACAGUCAAGCUUUCAGGGAAUACUGCCCGGCUUGGGACCGGGAGAGGUCAGAGGUACUCCAGGGGUAGGGGUGAAAUCCAUUAAUCCUUGGGGGACCACCGGUAGCGAAGGCGUCUGACCAGACCGGGUCCGACGGUGAGGGACGAAGGCUAGGGGCGCGAACCGGAUUAGAUACCCCCGUAGU